GGGCGUUUGGCUCAGUUGGUUAGAGCGCUUCCUUCACACGGAAGAGGUCACAGGUUCGAAUCCUGUAACGCCCAC
rnacentral:tRNA from 1 species